rnacentral:sRNA from 1 species
CGCCCGUCACACCACGAGAGUUUACAACACCCGAAGUCGGUGAGGUAACCGCAAGGGGCCAGCCGCCGAAGGUGGGGUAGAUGAUUGGGGUGAAGUCGUAACAAGGUAGCCGUAUCGGAAGGUGCGGCUGGAUCACCUCCUUUCUAUGGAGAUCAUGUGAUUGCGAAAUCACAGAUCAUUAAAGCAAUACAACGGCUGAUUUGCUUGCUCGUGUUCAGUUUUGAAGGUGUUCACACACUUUCAAACUCUUGUUCCUUGAAAACUGGAUAGCGAAACGAAACAAACCGAAAGCAAAAUCUUGAUUCUUAUACGUACCACUUGCUUACGCAGGUAUGGUUAAGCGAAUAAGAGCGCACGGAGGAUGCCUAGGCGCCAGGAGCCGAAGAAGGACGUAGCGAACGACGAAACGCCUCGGGGAGCCGUAAGCAGGCUUUGAUCCGGGGAUGUCCGAAUGGGGAAACCCUCAUGAGUGAACCUCAUGAAUCUUCCACUGAAUCCAUAGGUGGUUGAAGGCACACCCAGGGAACUGAAACAUCUAAGUACCUGGAGGAAAAGAAAACAACAGUGAUUCCCUUAGUAGCGGCGAGCGAACGGGGACUAGCCCAAACCAAGGGACUUGUCCUUUGGGGUUGUAGGACGUCAAUGUGGCAAAAGUAGAGUAGGCGAAGAGGUCUGGAAAGGCCCGCUACAAGAGGUAAAAGCCCUGUAGCCUAAACUUUACGUAUGCCUAGACGGAUCCUGAGUACGGCGGGGCACGGGAAACCCCGUCGGAAUCCGGCAGGACCAUCUGCCAAGGCUACAUACUCCCUGGCGACCGAUAGUGAAGCA